GUUUUAAUCUUCUCCCAAAUUUUCUCUCUUCAAAAAAAGAAAAAAUCUUUGAAGACUCCUCUCGAUCGACUCUUCUAAAAUUUGAAAAACCUGAAAAAUCUACUUACGCUCUUAGAUUGGGAUCUUGUUUUAGGGUUUCGGCUCUGCGUCCGCCUCUUCAGAGCUACUCAUGGGGAUGCAUUUGUUGGACUAGAAAACUCACCGGCCUUUCUCAUGUAUGCUGCUGCUUUCUCUUCCAGAGUUAUUGUCAAGGUAAGUUUUCUGUCUAUGAGAUUAGUUUCCGAGUUUCUAUCUUCAGAGGAUGGAAGGACAAAGUUAGUUCUGAUGUGUUAGGAUUCUGAAACCCAGAAAAGAUCAUAGGUAGCACUGAUCU